rnacentral:rRNA from 1 species
ACCCGCUGAACUUAAGCAUAUCAGUAAGCGGAGGAAAAGAAACUAACUAGGAUUCCCCGAGUAGCGGCGAGCGAAAGGGGAGAAGCCCAGCGCCGAAGCCCGCGGCCUCUGGUCGCAGUGCAAUGUGGCGUUUCGGUGGCGGUUCGCCGCGGUACCUCUGGCACGCGUACCUCUGAAUGGGUCUGCCCGUAGCGGGUGUCAGGCCUCUAAUUGCCAAACGAGGAUUGCCGUGGCUCGCCGUCAUCGCGGAGUCGGGUUGCUUGAGAGUGCAGCCCAAAGUGGGUGGUAAGCUCCAUCUAAGGCUAAAUACCUAGUGCGAGACCGAUAGCAAACAAGUACCGUGAGGGAAAGUUGCAAAGAACUUUGAAAAGAGAGUUCAAGAGUACGUGAAACCGUUCAGAGGCAAACGGACGGAACUGGGCGAGUUCGCCGUCGUCAUUCAGCCGUCGCUCCCUCGCGGGGCGGCGGUGCACUUGGCGGCGGCGGAGCGCGACGACCGCCUGUCGGGUCGUCAGAAGCCCGGCGGCAAGGUGGCGACGCGUUCGCGCGUCGUGUUACAGGCCGCCUGGGCGUUGGCUGACCUGGCGGGCGAGGAGCGCCUGCGGUGCACUCCCCGAGUGAGCGGGAGUGGCCCGUCGUGGUGGGCUUGCGGACGCCGGCGGCGAACUGCUCGCAGUUCGUUGUCGCGCGCUCUGUCUGUCGCGCCGCGCGGUGCCACGAGGCACCCAGGGUCCGAGUCGCGUGGUUCCCGGCACUCCGUCCGACCCGUCUUGAAACACGGACCAAGGAGUUGAGCACGUGCGCGAGUCGAUGGGCUAUUCGAACCCCAGUGGCGCAGCUAAGGCAAAACGGGCGUGAUCCGGCACUAGCGUGUCGGCGCAACGCCGGCCCGCGGCCGACUCGAUGCGAGUGGCCGCGGCGCAAGAGCGUACGUGCUCAGACCCGAAAGGUGGUGAACUAUGCUUGAGCAGGGCGAAGCCAGAGGAAACUCUGGUGGAGGCUCGCAGCGAUCCUGACGUGCAAAUCGGUCGUCAAACUUGAGCAUAGGGGCGAAAGACUAAUCGAACCGCCUAGUAGCUGGUUCCCUCCGAAGUUUCCCUCAGGAUAGCUGGCACUCGGGAUAAAUGGUUUUAUCCGGUAAAGCGAAUGAUUAGAGGCAUUGGGGACGAAACGUCCUCAACCUAUUCUCAAACUUUAAAUGGGUAAGAGGCGCGACCCUUCCUGAUCGGGGUCGCGUGCUUGAACAGAGAGUGCCCAGUGGGCCGUUUUUGGUAAGCAGAACUGGCGCUGUGGGAUGAACCAAACGCGCGGUUAGGGUGCCAAACGCACGCUCAUCAGAUACCACAAAAGGUGUUGGUUGAUAUAGACAGCAGGACGGUGGCCAUGGAAGUCGGAAUCCGCUAAGGAGUGUGUAACAACUCACCUGCCGAAUCAACUAGCCCUGAAAAUGGAUGGCGCUGGAGCGUGCGACCCAUACCGCGCCGUCGGGGCAAUGCGUGCGAAAUGCCAGGCCCCGACGAGUAGGAGGGCGUGUCGGUGGCGCUGAAGCGUUGUGCGCGAGCACGCGUGGAGCCGCCUUCAGUGCAGAUCUUGGUGGUAGUAGCAAGUAUACAAAUGAGAACUUUGUAGACCGAAGUGGAGAAGGGUUCCAUGUGAACAGCAGUUGGACAUGGGUCAGUCGGCCCUAAGAGAUCGGAAAAUUCCGUUCUGAACGGGGGAGGCGCCGCACGCGGCCGUCAGAACUCGCGCUUCGAGAGAGUGCGGCCGCAGACACGAAAUCAGAAACAAUACUUGAGCAGUGCGCGCGUGACGUCCCCCGAUGCGAUCGAAAGGGAAUCGGGUUAAUAUUCCCGAACCUGGCAGUGGAGAUUGGCCCCUCGGGGCCCAGUGCGGUAACGCAACCGAACUCGGAGACGCCAGCGUUGAUCCCGGGAAGAGUUCUCUUUUCUUUGUUAGGAGCGGACUCCCUGGAAUUGGCUUGUCCAGAGAUAGGGACGUUGCAUCCGUAAAGCGUCGCGCCUCACGCGACGUCCGGUGCAUCAGCGUUGGCCCUUGAAAAUCCGAGGGAGGCAGUGUAAUUUUCACUCCAGGCCGUACCCGAAUCCGCAGCAGGUCUCCAAGGUGAACAGCCUCUGGUCGAUAGAACAAUGUAGGUAAGGGAAGUCGGCAAAUCCGAUCCGUAACUUCGGGAUAAGGAUUGGCUCUGAGGUGCGGGCUGUUUCGGGUCGCGGCAAGAAGCGGACCGUGCGUUGGCUGGACUGGACGUGCUCGCGCGCGUUCGGACCGCCGCCAGCGCGCGUCCGUGGGAGGCCGUGGCUUUCGCCGGCGUCGGCCUCGUGUCGGCGUCGGCUUCGUUCGGCCUAAACGCACAGCACAGAACUGGCACGGACUCUGGGAACACGACUGUCUAAUUAAAACAAAGCAUCGCGAUGGCCGCUGGUCGGUGUUGACGCGAUGUGAUUUCUGCCCAGUGCUUUGAAUGUCAAAGUGAAGAAAUUCAACCAAGCGCAGGUAAACGGCGGGAGUAACUAUGACUCUCUUAAGGUAGCCAAAUGCCUCGUCAUCUAAUUAGUGACGCGCAUGAAUGGAUUAACGAUGUUCCCACUGUCCCUAUCUACUAUCUAGCGAAACCACAGCCAAGGGAACGGGCUUGGCAAAUACAGCGGGGAAAGAAGACCCUGUUGAGCUUGACUCUAGUUUGACAUUGUGAAGAGACACGAAAGGUGUAGCAUAGGUGGGAGCCUCACGGCGCCAAUGAAAUACCACUACUUUCGUAGUUUCUU